GUCUAUGGCCAUGCCACCCUGAACAAGCCCGAUCCUUUCUGAUCUUGGAAGCUAAGCAGGGUCGGGCCUGGUUAGUACUUGUGCUAACCUAGUACCUAGGAAGACCAGGUGCUGUAGGUA
ensembl:rRNA 5S_rRNA 5S ribosomal RNA